GGGCAAUCUGGCUGCAACAUCUGUCACCCUGCGAAUCACCAGGGUUAAUUCGGCUGAGCUGGCUGGCUAAGUGGGUAUCCCCUUCCACUCUCACCACUCCACGUGUGUGCCCCUAGCAAAGCUGCAUGCGUGAUGAAUGAGAAUGAUCAUCCUAAACAGAAGGAGUAUAUCUAAUUCACACUGCAGCUGAGGGCACCUCUAUGAAAAUAUAUCUCUAUGCAAAUAAGUCAAAUAAGGCUUCUAUCAGCUAUA
rnacentral:sRNA from 1 species